CAGUAGCCGCGGUAAUACGUAGGUGGCAAGCGUUGUCCGGAUUUAUUGGGCGUAAAGCGAGCGCAGGCGGUUUCUUAAGUCUGAUGUGAAAGCCCCCGGCUCAACCGGGGAGGGUCAUUGGAAACUGGGAAACUUGAGUGCAGAAGAGGAGAGUGGAAUUCCAUGUGUAGCGGUGAAAUGCGUAGAUAUAUGGAGGAACACCAGUGGCGAAGGCGGCUCUCUGGUCUGUAACUGACGCUGAGGCUCGAAAGCGUGGGGAGCAAACAGGAUUAGAUACCCCGGUAGUCCCUGUCUCUUAUAC
rnacentral:rRNA from 1 species